rnacentral:ncRNA from 2 species
CAUCUUAGAAAAAGACAUUCUUGUAUAUGAUCAGUAAUAUGGUCUGAUUGUUUCUACCUAGUAACCGUAAAAAAC